CAAGGCAGCGCGCGUAAGUUUCCUUUUCCUCUUAAUCGCGGGGCAUCGCAGCGAGAGGCAACGCAUGCCGCGAGCAGAGCAAAGAGCGAGCAGAGAGCGAUAAAGUGGAGCGAAUAUAAAGCUUAAGGAGAGCGUCAUUCGCUUCCUCACUCAGCUGCACCACGUGGAGAGGCAGAAUCUCUUCUUCACUCGGUGGUGGAAUUCGUGAAUAUCGGUCAGGUCUUCUACCGGUCUACCGGUCUUCAGGUCUUGAAGUCGACCGGUCUUUAGGUCUUGAGGUCUUCAGGCCUUGAGGUUUUCAAGUCUUCAGAUCUUCUGGUCUUCUUUUGAGUUGGAAAAGUGAUGCGAACCAGGAAGACGUUCCAAGAGAUGGCGAGCCUUCCCAGUGUGAAUCCAGAACCAGAAUCUACGAUGUGCUAAAAAGCAAACCCUCCGGUUGCUUUUGUGGUAGGAGUGUGCCGGUUUUAACAUCGGUACCAACACGACCCUAUAUCUUAAAGAGUGCACUCCAACGAACGUAGGGAUCCUUGAUUUUAGACUUGCAGAUCAAAAACUGCAUUUAAGCUGACUUGACUUUUGAAGCACUGAACACCGAAAAAGAACUUACAAAAGGACAUUUUAUUUUCUUUUAAAGGGCUGUUUGUUUUUUUUCAUACCAGUGUACAUAUUUUGUUCUUCUGCACAUUAAAGUGCCACUAAUUGUGAGA